UCUGUAGCUCAGUCGGUAGAGCAGAGGACUGAAAAUCCUCGUGUCGAUGGUUCGAUUCCAUUCGA
rnacentral:tRNA from 1 species